rnacentral:rRNA from 1 species
UACGAAGGGGGCUAGCGUUGCUCGGAAUCACUGGGCGUAAAGCGCACGUAGGCGGAUCUUUAAGUCAGAGGUGAAAUCCCAAGGCUCAACCUUUGAAUGUCAGCGGAUACUGCCGGGCUAGAGUCCGGAAGAGGCGAGUGGAACUCCUGGUGUAGCGGUGGAAUGCGCAGAUAUCAGGAAGAACACCAACGGCGAAGGCAGCUCGCUGGGACGGAACUGACGCUGAGGCGCGAAAGCGUGGGGAGCGAACAGG